ACUCGUCUGAGCGAGUAUAAACCACUUUAGGCUCAGAGCGUCCCCACUUCGGUGGGGGGUAGCA
rnacentral:ribozyme from 10 species